rnacentral:rRNA from 1 species
CAGCAGCCACGGGAAAACGGAGGGUGCAAGCGUUAUCCGGAUUUAUUGGGUUUAAAGGGUCCGUAGGCGGACUUAUAAGUCAGUGGUGAAAGCCUGUCGCUUAACGAUAGAACUGCCAUUGAUACUGUAAGUCUUGAGUAUAUUUGAGGUAGCUGGAAUAAGUAGUGUAGCGGUGAAAUGCAUAGAUAUUACUUAGAACACCAAUUGCGAAGGCAGGUUACCAAGAUAUAACUGACGCUGAGGGACGAAAGCGUGGGUAGCGAACAGGAUUAGAUACCCGCGUAGUCCCUGUCUCUUAUAC